rnacentral:tRNA from 1 species
UCUAUAGCCAAGCGGUAAGGCACCAGGUUCUGACCCUGUUAUUCGUAGGUUCGAAUCCUACUAGA